rnacentral:lncRNA from 1 species
CACUAAGAAGAACAUGUUCUUAUUUAUUGUUGUGCAGAAUAAGGCUACAGGGAAAACACAAUUUAUUAUGGAACAGUGGCAUUUAUGCUGGUAUUUUGUCCCCCGUGUUCAAUCUCAAGCGUCUUGUAUAAUCACUGUUACUUCAGAUGCUAAUAGAACAACAAAAAAAAGGGAAAAAAAAUGAAAAAAUUGAAUUAAGUAGAUACUCAAAAGCCUAAGCACAAACGAUUAAAUUAAAUAAUUAGUAACAAAUAGUCAAAUAGGAGUUAAAAAAUGGGGGCGGGGGCGCUGAUUUUAAAAACAUCAGUAUAAGCUUGAAAAUCAAACAACAAAUGAAAGAUUAUAGAGAUAAUAAUUCUUGGAGGUUCAAAAUACAUAUCUUGUAAGAAAUAAGCCAUAAUACUCAUAAGGGUAUAACAAAUGAAAGACGUUCCAUGAUGUCCGUCUCCCACUUCCUCUCUCCCGAAUUUCUAACAGUAAAGGCAGACUAUAACCAUCUGUGUUCGUUUUUCGAGACUAAUUGAUUUUUGGGGAAAAGAACAGGAGAAGACUUAAGUUAAUCACAGCAAACAAUGGCUCGUGGAGAUGGCCGAUUGGCACCUCACAGUGACUCUCAUCCAUGAAACGAAAACAUCUGUUUUUCUUAGUUUCAGGCUGCUGACACCAAUUCAUUGUGAGAGUUUGAGGAGGCCCAGAGAUGGAAUAACAAAAAAGUGAAUGAACCCACAAGAACCUCAAGUUGCCCUCACUAAUGAGCUGCUGAUGUUUGUCCACUCAGGUGGUUACAGCUCAACCUCCUACAGACCAUAUCAUGCUAUAAUGUUUGUUGUCAUUUGAUCUAGGUUUCCUCAACCAUUCAAGAGGUAUGUGUAUGUAUGCUUACAUAAACCUUGAAGAUUUUAAAUGGCCAAGAGACCGGAUUUUUUCCAGUAAGUUGAUUCUGGUGCAGGGCCAAGCUUCUCGAAUUUCUCAAAUUACCAAUUUCAGCUAGAUGGAAGCAUGAAUUAGUCUAAUAAUAACAUCGUGUCCUUUUUUCACCACUUAUCAUAAAUCUAAACUGGUUCAGUGCAUGUUAGACGACGGUGAAUGAAAAGAAUUUAGACUCUACAGGUCAAAUAAACUAGUUCUUAUCAUGAACAUGAUAUGCUAAUAAAAGUAUUUAACUUACAAAUACUGAAGAUUGGUGACAAGUCCAAGCUCACUGACGAGUAUUAGCAAGGUCCCUUCAAUAAUCAAAUCCAAUUUCAAAUUACCAAAACGUAAAUGGCAAUGACCUAAAAAAGAGUAAAGUUCGGAAAGAUGGCACAUACACCCCGCCGACACUGUUAUUGCUGCUGCAAGUAGCUUGAAACCAUGUACAUAGAUUGACUAGUGUAGGAGCCCAGCUCU